CAGCAGCCGCGGUAAUACGAAGGGUGCAAGCGUUAAUCGGAAUUACUGGGCGUAAAGCGUGCGUAGGCGGUUUGUUAAGUCUGCUGUGAAAUCCCCGGGCUCAACCUGGGAAUGGCAGUGGAUACUGGCAAGCUAGAGUGUGUCAGAGGAUGGUGGAAUUCCCGGUGUAGCGGUGAAAUGCGUAGAGGUCGGGAGGAACAUCAGUGGCGAAGGCGGCCAUCUGGGCCAACACUGACACUGAGGCACGAAAGCGUGGGGAGCAAACAGGAUUAGAUACCCGUGUAGUCCCUGUCUCUUAUAC
rnacentral:rRNA from 1 species